AAUCUGUUGUGGAAAGUUUAGAGCAGGGCUGAACUUGUUCCCAUUUGGCUUUGAUAUUGAAAUGGUGAGGUUUCGUGUAAGAUUCUAGGCCCCUCUGUAUUCCUCCACCCCCUGGAUAAGUAACCUCCCUGAUCAUAACUCCUUCCCAACAGAAGGUGGUCUUUGAGCCAUGACAGGACUGCUUUUGUAUGGGUCCUGGUAAUUCAGGCCUCAGGUCCUGGGACCUUGGAAUUGAUGGUAUCAUAGCUGAUUGAAUUUGCUUUCAAGAUAAGCAGGUUGUAAGAGCGGACUCUCACUAUUGUGGGGAUGGAGAGGAGUUGCUGGCUACUCAAAAGUGACCAUGAUGUAUGUGGGGAUAAGAGCAGGGGCAAGAGUAAACAGAGCCUCUCCACUUGCCCAUAAUCUCUAGCAAGAUCCAGUCUUGUCCAGAAGCCAGUUUCCUCACCUCUGCCUAUUCAUACUAGCAAUGCUCAGUGCAACAGUUCAUGGAUUCCUCCUGUGGGUCAGCUCAUCUACCCCACAUUUUUUGUUUUUCUCUUUUUUAAAGUAGACUUUAUUUUUUUUAGCGCAGUUUUAGUUUCAUAGCAAAAUUGAACAGAAAGUACACAGAAUUCCCAUAUACCCCCAGACCGCACACACACGCACAGCUGCUCCCACUGUCAGCAUCCUGCGCUGCAGUGGUACAUGCGUUACAAUCAAUAAACCUACACUGGCGCUUCGUUGUCACCCGAAGCCCAUAGUAUACAUUUGGGUUCACUCUUGCUGUUGUAUAUUUUAUGGGUUUGGACAAACGCACAGUGAUGUGUACCCAUCGUUGUGGUCUCACAGAGAAUGGUCUCACUGCCCAGAAAUCCUCUGUACCCUUCUUGUUCAUCCCUCCCUCCCCUCUAGUCCCUGGAAACCACUGAUCCUUUCAGUGUCCCCAAAGUUUUGCUUUUUCCGGAAUGUCAUAUAGUUAGAAUCAUACAAUAUGUAGCCUUUUCAAAACUGCUUCUCUCACAUAGUAAUAUGCAUUUAAGGUCUCUGCAUGUCUUUUUGUGACUUGAUGGCUCAUUUCUUUUUAGUGCUAAUAUUCUGUGCCUGGAUAUACCACAGUUUAUUAAUCCAUUCACUUACUGGCUGUGUCCAAGUUUUGACAGUUAUGAAUAAAGCUGCUAUAUAUAUCUGUGUGCAGGUUUUUAUGUGGGUAUGUUUCAACUCCUUUGGGUAAAUUACCAAGGAGCCCAAUGGCAGAUUGUAUGGUAAAAGUAGGUCUAGUUUUUUAGGAAGCCACCUACUGUCUUCCAGAGUGGCUGUGCCGUUUCGCAUUCCCAGCAGUGAAUGAGAGUCCCUGUUGCUCCACGUGUUCGCUGGCACUUGGCGUUGUCACUGUUUUAGAUUUGGGCCAUUCUACUAGGUGUGUAGUGGUAUCUUAUUUUAAUUUGUAAUUCCCUGAUGACAGCGUGUUGAGCAUCUUUUCACAUGCUUCUUUGCCAUCUGUAUAUAUUCUUUGGCGAGGUGUCUGUUUAGGUCUUUGGCCCACUUUUAAUCAGGUUGUUCUCUUAUUGUUGAGUUUUAAGUGUUCUUUGUAUACAGGCAGACUUCAUUUUAUUGCAGUUUGCUUUAUUUCUGCUUCACAACUAUUGCAUUUUUUUUUUCAAAUUGAAGGUUUGUGGCAACCCUUUGUCGUCAGAUGAUGGUUAGCAUAUUUUAGCAAUAAAGUAUUUUUAAAUUAAGGUAUGUAAUUUAAAUUAAGGUAUGUAAUUGUUUUCUUAGAAUACUAUUGCACACUUAGAAGACUACAGUAUAAACAUAACUUUUUAAAACUUAUUUAUUUAUAUUUUGGCUGCGUUGGGUCUUCGUUGCUGCACGCGGGCUUCCUCUGGUUGCAGCAAGCAGGGGCCACUGUUCGUUGCCGUGCAUUGGCUUCUCAUUGCGGUGGCUUUUCCUGUUGCAGAGCACCGGCUCUAGGCGCGCAGGCUUCAAUAGUUGUGGCACACGGGCUCAGUAGUUGUGGCUUGCGGGCUCAGUAGUUGUGGCACACAGGCUUAGUUGCUCCGCGGCGUGUGGGAUCUUCUGACCAGGGCUCGAACACAUGUCCCCUGCAUUGGCAGGCGGAUUCUUAACCACUGAGCCACCAGGGAAGUCCCUAAACAACUUUUAUAUGCACUAGGAAACAAAAAUAUUCACUUUAUUGUGUCUAGUUGUUCCAGCACCAUUUGUUGUAUUGUAUUGCUCUUUGAUCAGUUGAAUCUGUGAGUUUCUUUCUGGGCUCUCUAUUCUGUUCCAUUGAUUUAUGUGUGUAAUCUUUUGCCAGUACCACACAGCCUUGAGUACUCUAUAGUCAAGGUUGAAGUCAGGUAUUCUCAGUCCUGCACCUCUGUUCUUCUCCAGCACUGUGUUGGCUGUUCUCACCUUAUCUACCCUGAGCCCCCAAGCAGUCUGUCAAUUACAGUCGGAUUCUCCCACUGUGAUACUGGUUCCUGUGGAAGUUUGAGUUUGUGGAUUUCUGCUCCAAGAAGUUACAGUUCUCUGUAUUUACCUGUCUAGCUCCAAUUCAAGGGAUAGCAGUUUGCCCUGUGGCCUCACUUCUCUGACAGAAAGUUGUUGAUUUUUCAGUUUGCUCAGCUUUUUACCUGCUAGAACAGUGACAAUUUCCAAGCUGUUUACAUCCUGGACCAGAAACCAGAAUGCCUAUCCCCUGUUUUUAUCUACUAGAGUCGUUCUCAAAUUUGGAAGAGGUUUGAGACACCAUCCAGUGCAUCCCUGUAGGUGAUGUUUGGGGAGUACCUUCCCCUCCCCCCACCAUACACACAAACACCGCCCUCUACCCCAUGGACAGUUGAUUGCCAGGGAUGUGUGUCCAUUCAACUUAGCUCCAGUGGUUAGAACACUCUUGUUACACCUCUCUUUGGUCUUAGUUUUGCCCUUUACUGAAGGCAGGUACAAGGAGGGGAAGAGGAGAGAGACAGGCUGUAGGCUCUCCCUGAAGGGCCAGAGGCAGCCCCGUCCUACCCUGCAGUCUCCUAGAGGACAGUGGAUGUGACCAGACUGCUCGGGGACGCCAGAGAGCAGCACAUAUCCUCCUUUGAGCUCAUCCUCCCAGAAUCCUACACCAAGAAAUGGAAGAAUCCUUAGAGAGCAUCUAGUUCAAGCUUUCCUUAUACACAGAUGCAGAAAUAGAGGCCAGAGGGAUAGAAGGAGCAGACUGCGGAUCACAGGGAAUCAGUGGUGGAGACCAAGCUUCCUGCCUCCUACCUUCAGUCCCCUUGGAGCCUUAGAGCUGAAAUCCUUACCCUGAUCAGAGUGAAAAGAUGAUGAGGACUGAGCCCAGGCUCCUGUCUCCACCUCAGUUUUCCCCAUAAUGUGAACGCCAAAAUGAGCAGCAGCAACUAGUAGCGUCUGCUUUCUUGGCAAUUCAGUGAAGGCUAUGCUGAGGACAAGAACACGCAAGCCA